CUCUUCAGCUCCCCCUACAAUUUCCAACAAAAUCGUGGAGCUCCAGUUGUGCGCCGGCGAUGUGAACGCCCAACAUAAAAAACACCUCCGAUCCUCAGUAGCACUACAAACACUUCCAUGUUCGGCUUGUAAUCAUCUGGAUGUCAAAACUUCUCACUGACAUCAUGAUUCAACACCAACGAAGACUUCUUCAACAUGAAUGUGACAUAGCUAGACUUAAAACAAAAGAAUGAAUCCCAAAGGAGUUGGUACCACUGUUAAAGAGGAAAAAGUGUUCAGUUGUCAAAACAGGUAUUGAGAAAUCUGUUAUUGAAAGUAUCCUAUGCUUCCUCAGUUGUUUGUUGUAUGUUUAGCUUCCUUGAUUCAGCUCGCCUGUUGUUUACUCCUGUAGCUUGUACCCAGUAUUUUGAACUCUUUUUAUUCUUAGAUAUGGCAUGCUGUUUUUUUCCAA